UGCUGCUCUGGUAGAACCCCAAUUCCACGCCACAUCACAAUUAAGCUUAAGAGUACCUCUGAUUAGGGGACUCCAGCCAUAACCAGAAGCCACAGAAGUUUUGGAUGAACCACUGACCAGCUGGGAAUUGUCAACAAGAUUUUACAGAUCAUUAAGGACUUCUUUUAUGCGUUUAACAGUAGCUAAGGGAUUAGGCAUACUUCCCUCAAACACAGCUCUAUUCCUUUCUUUCCAAAUUCACCAAACUGUAACAACUACUACUACUGUAACAAGUACUACAAUCAACACAUCCUUGCGAAGCUUGCCGUCCUUUACUUCGUCCACCAUGAUCAACCACCAUUCACCAAAAGAUGUGAAUCCAACAUUUGGUUUAAAGGCACAAGGACUUGCAAACCAAGAUGCUCUCGCAUGGUUACACAGUAAUAGCAAGCGUUCAAUUGAUCCAAUUUCCUUAUUGCAUAUUGGGCAGGAUGGAUUAAUUUGAAUGCCCCUGUUUCUCAGAUUGCCCCCUCUCUGGAAGAGCAUUUAGACUGGCACGUUGAAUAGCCACAACAGCUUGAAUUUUAAAUCUCAUCAAUUGAUUAAUUUGAUCAACAUUUAACUUUGUAAUCUCAACAAUUUAAAAUUUUU
rnacentral:misc_RNA from 1 species